rnacentral:rRNA from 1 species
UACGUAGGGUGCAAGCGUUGUCCGGAAUUAUUGGGCGUAAAGAGCUCGUAGGCGGUUUGUCACGUCGGCUGUGAAAACCUGGGGCUCAACCCCGGGCCUGCAGCCGAUACGGGCAGCUAGAGUUCGGCAGGGGAGACUGGAAUUCCUGGUGUAGCGGUGAAAUGCGCAGAUAUCAGGAGGAACACCGGUGGCGAAGGCGGGUCUCUGGGCCGAUACUGACGCUGAGGAGCGAAAGCGUGGGGAGCGAACAGG